rnacentral:rRNA from 1 species
AAUAGAUACCCAGGUAGUCCACGCCGUAAACUAUGAUUACUCGAUGUCGGCGAUAUACUGUCGGUGUCCAAGCGAAAGUGAUAAGUAAUCCACCUGGGGAGUACGAUCGCAAGGUUGAAACUCAAAGGAAUUGACGGGGGGCCCGCACAAGCGGUGGAGCAUGUGGUUUAAUUCGAUGAUACGCGAGGAACCUUACCUGGGCUUGAAUGCAUUAUGACCGUCCCGGAAACGGGACUUUCUUCGGACAGAAUGCAAGGUGCUGCAUGGUUGUCGUCAGCUCGUGCUGUGAGGUGUCGGGUUAAGUCCCAUAACGAGCGCAACCUCUAUUCUUAGUUGCCAGCGGGUAAUGCCGGGGACUCUAAGAAACUGCCCGCGUAAGCGGUGAGGAAGGUGGGGAUGACGUCAAAUCAUCACGGCCCUUACGUCCAGGGCUACACACGUGCUACAAUGGUCAGUACAAAGGGCAGCUACCUGGUGACAGGAUGCUAAUCUCGAAAACUGAUCUCAGUUCGGAUCGAAGU